rnacentral:tRNA from 1 species
GGAGAGGUGGCAGAGUGGUUGAAUGCGCCGGUUUCGAAAACCGGUUGUGCCGCAAGGUACACGGGAGUUCGAAUCUCCCCCUCUCCG